GCUUCUGUAGCUUAUAGAAAGUGAAGAGCUUUUAACUCUUUGAAGCAUAUUGGUUUAUGCUAGAAGUG
rnacentral:tRNA from 1 species